GUCGAGCGGACCGACGGGAGCUUGCUCCCUUAGGUCAGCGGCGGACGGGUGAGUAACACGUGGGUAACCUGCCUGUAAGACUGGGAUAACUCCGGGAAACCGGGGCUAAUACCGGAUGCUUGAUUGAACCGCAUGGUUCAAUCAUAAAAGGCGGCUUCGGCUGCCGUUUACAGAUGGACCCGCGGCGCAUUAGCUAGUUGGUGAGGUAACGGCUCACCAAGGCGACGAUGCGUAGCCGACCUGAGAGGGUGAUCGGCCACACUGGGACUGAGACACGGCCCAGACUCCUACGGGAGGCAGCAGUAGGGAAUCUUCCGCAAUGGACGAAAGUCUGACGGAGCAACGCCGCGUGAGUGAUGAAGGUUUUCGGAUCGUAAAGCUCUGUUGUUAGGGAAGAACAAGUACCGUUCGAAUAGGGCGGUACCUUGACGGUACCUAACCAGAAAGCCACGGCUAACUACGUGCCAGCAGCCGCGGUAAUACGUAGGUGGCAAGCGUUGUCCGGAAUUAUUGGGCGUAAAGCGCGCGCAGGCGGUUUCUUAAGUCUGAUGUGAAAGCCCCCGGCUCAACCGGGGAGGGUCAUUGGAAACUGGGGAACUUGAGUGCAGAAGAGGAGAGUGGAAUUCCACGUGUAGCGGUGAAAUGC
rnacentral:rRNA from 1 species